rnacentral:rRNA from 1 species
GACGGAGGGUGCUAGCGUUGUUCGGAAUUACUGGGCGUAAAGGGCGCGUAGGCGGCCUGGAAAGUCGGUUGUGAAAGCCCGGGGCUCAACCCCGGAACGGCAGCCGAGACUUCUGGGCUGGAGACCGGGAGAGGUGGGUGGAAUACCCAGUGUAGAGGUGAAAUUCGUAGAUAUUGGGUGGAACACCGGUGGCGAAAGCGGCUCACUGGCCCGGUUCUGACGCUGAGGCGCGAAAGCGUGGGGAGCAAACAGG